CUCCCCUCCUCCCACUUAAUUCCUUGCCCGUUUCACUCCGGAGUAAACACGAAAAUUAUGGAGAGCGUUAUAAAUAACCCAUUCAGGGAAUUAGAACCCAACAUUAUUGCUUUAAAAUCGCCGAAUUGAUCCAUGAAACGUACACACACAAACAGCCAUAAUGGCCAUGUUGAGCUCCCUUGAUCUCCCCGGACCGGCUCCCACUGCCACUAUAAAUAGACCGCGAGGAGAGCCCUCAGCCCUAACACCUUCCAGACCCAAAAGCCCUCUUCAUCUCGCCUCAAAACCGGAGAAUUUGUCGCCGGACCCGAGCUUCGUUGUCGCCGUCCGUUGACGUUCCCGUCGGCUCCGCCAGGGCGCACGAACGACGGCACCCGACCUCCACCAUCGUUCUGCCUGCAGCCGCUGCCCACGCCCUCCGGUGGACGAGAUCGACAGGGCCAAUAGCCUAUCGUCUUCCUCUCAUCUUCAGGAAUGGCGACGUGAACCCCCUCGUGCACGAUCGAGCCACGCGCCGCCGCCCCGACCAACUCCGGCGACCGGACCACCUCUCCCCGAUAUAUCAUAAGGUGAAGGAGA